UACAGAGGUCCCAAGCGUUGUUCGGAUUCACUGGGCGUAAAGGGUGCGUAGGUGGUGAGGUAAGUCGGAUGUGAAAGCUCCGAGCUCAACUCGGAAAUGGCAUUGGAAACUACCUUGCUGGAGGGUUUGAGGGGGGACUGGAAUACUUGGUGUAGCAGUGAAAUGCGUAGAUAUCAAGUAGAACACCAGUGGCGAAGGCGAGUCCCUGGAAAACACCUGACACUGAGGCACGAAAGCUAGGGGAGCAAACAGG
rnacentral:rRNA from 1 species